rnacentral:rRNA from 1 species
GACGAACGCUGGCGGCGUGCUUAACACAUGCAAGUCGAACGGAAAGGCCCUGCUUUUGUGGGGUGCUCGAGUGGCGAACGGGUGAGUAACACGUGAGUAACCUGCCCUUGACUUUGGGAUAACUUCAGGAAAAUGGGGCUAAUACCGGAUAGGAGCUCCUGCUGCAUGGUGGGGGUUGGAAAGUUUCGGCGGUUGGGGAUGGACUCGCGGCUUACCAGCUUGUUGGUGGGGUAGUGGCUUACCAAGGCUUUGAAGGGUAGCCCGCCUGGGAGGGGUACCGGCGACAUUGGGACUGAGAGACGGCCCAGACUCCUACGGUAGGCAGCAGUGGGGAGUAUUGCGCAGUGGGCGGAAGCCUGAUGCAGCAGCGCCGCGUGCGGAAUGACGGCCUUCGAGUUAUGAACCGCUUUCGCCUGUGACGAAGCGUGAGUGACGGUAAUGAGUAAAGAAGCACCGGCUAACUACGUG